ACUUAUUAACAAAAUAAAAUAAAAUAAGUACAUUAUCACUUAACAAAGAAUUUUAAUUGUAAUGAGACUUUUCGGCCUAAAUUUUUAGUACGGCCCAACUAUUUAUUUGUUGAAUCAUAGAAUAAAUUGUUUGUACCUAAUGUUAUUAAAUGACAAUACACAAAUGACUAAUAGCUAAUUUAUACCCAAACACAAUUCUUACAAAACAUUAGUUCUAGUGUAAUGGCUG
rnacentral:lncRNA from 1 species